CGUAGGGGGCAAGCGUUGUCCGGAAUUACUGGGCGUAAAGGGCGUGUAGGUGGGUAAUUAAGUCAUGGGUGAAAACUGCGAGCUCAACUUGCAGACUGCCUAUGAAACUGGUCAUCUUGAGGGCAGGAGAGGAAAGUGGAAUUCCUAGUGUAGCGGUGAAAUGCGUAGAUAUUAGGAGGAACACCAGUGGCGAAGGCGACUUUCUGGACUGUCCCUGACACUGAGGCGCGAAAGCUAGGGGAGCGAACGGGAUUAGAUACCCCGGUAGUCCUAGCCGUAAACGAUGGGUACUAGGUGUGGGAGGUAUCGACCCCUUCCGUGCCGAAGUUAACACAUUAAGUACCCCGCCUGGGGAGUACGGCCGCAAGGUUG
rnacentral:rRNA from 1 species